UGGGGAAUUUUGGACAAUGGGGGAAACCCUGAUCCAGCCAUCCCGCGUGUGCGAUGAAGGCCUUCGGGUUGUAAAGCACUUUUGGCAGGAAAGAAACGUCAUGGGUUAAUACCCCGUGAAACUGACGGUACCUGCAGAAUAAGCACCGGCUAACUACGUGCCAACAGCCGCGGUAAUACGUAGGGUGCAAGCGUUAAUCGGAAUUACUGGGCGUAAAGCGUGCGCAGGCGGUUCGGAAAGAAAGAUGUGAAAUCCCAGAGCUCAACUUUGGAACUGCAUUUUUAACUACCGGGCUAGAGUGUGUCAGAGGGAGGUGGAAUUCCGCGUGUAGCAGUGAAAUGCGUAGAUAUGCGGAGGAACACCGAUGGCGAAGGCAGCCUCCUGGGAUAACACUGACGCUCAUGCACGAAAGCGUGGGGAGCAAACAGG
rnacentral:rRNA from 1 species